AAGUUUUGGAGCGUGACUGGAUCUAGAUCUAUAAAAUUUAAAUGUUUAUGUACAUAUGUAGUUCUAUAACUUGACUUGUGUUAACGAAGUCAGUAGUAUAGAAGACCUCGAGCAGCUGAUCCUAAAAACUUGGACCCUGAUAACUGGUAAUAGUAUAAACCGGUAUAUAAUGGACUGGAAAGACUGCUGGGAAAAGGGCACUUUGCCCUGGCAUAUGGAAGAUACACAUCCAAAAUUUGUAUUGCAUUUAGACAAGAUAACGGGAAAGAAGAAUAAAGCUAAAAUAUUUUUUCCUUUAUGUGGCAAGGCUGUUGAAAUGUUUUAUCUAGCCAAGAGGGGCCACACUAUUGUUGGAGUUGAAUACAUUGAAUUAGCUGUCAAGCAGUUCUUUGAUGAAAAUAAGCUGUCAUUUAAAACAAAACCUGUACCAGAAAUAGAUGGCGAUGUGUAUGAAAACGAAGAAAACCGUAUAAAGAUUUAUUGUGGAGAUUACUUCAAAUUUAGCCCAACUUUAGAAAAAAAUUUUGAUGGUGUUUGGGACCGUGGAGGUCUGGAAGCUGUAGAUGUCGACCAGCGUGGGAAAUAUACAGACGUGAUGAAAUCUGUCAUGAAACGAGGAGCUGGAUGUGUUACAGAAGUGCCCGACCGUCCAAAAGGAGAAGGACCGCCAUUUAAUCUAUCUGUCGAUGAAAUUACCCAACUCUACGACUUAAAGGCACCACCAGAAAAAAUUGAUUACGAUCCGGCAAGCGAAAUUCUCAAAUCAAUGAAUGUGGAUGGAAUGUUUUAUUAUUAUUACAAAAUACAGUCAUGAUAUGAUCAUAUUGCAGCAUUUUAUGUAUCUAUCUCAAAAUAUUUACCGUAGAUGAUCACCCAUUUUAAUGAUACUAGUACUUGUUUCAUUCACAGGAUUAAAUGCAGAUUUGUUGAAACUUUUUAGUCAACAAUAAGCAAUUUGUAUUAACACCUUGAUUUUUAUGUUUUAGUUUUCUAUGUUGUGUCUAUAAUACUGUUGUUUGUCUUUUGGUAUUUUUUUUUAUAUCUAUCUCAAAAUAUUUUUUUAAUAUAUAUAACAACUUGUGCAAAUCAAAAUGCUAAGCAUAUCAAUUUUUUUUCAAAUUUCAGACGAUGGUACACAUUUCUCCCAUAGAGUAUUCUAGCUUCAAAAUCACUUCAUUUGUUAAUUCAGUAUUUAAUAUAUGAACCCACUUGUUAUUCUUUCAUUAUAUGGGGAAGGUAGUUUGAUCAAUCAUCUAACCCGUUCAAACCAAUUACUGUUUCUUUUGGCUUAACAUAUUGCUGUUUUUCCACUUUUCCAUUAAAAACUACAAAUAAUGGGUGUCAAAUGUACUAAAUGGUUUGAAUCACUUAUGUAGUAGACAACAACAAGUUUGUAUUAAUGGUUCUGAUUUAAGAUAUAUUACAUGUGGAUUACCACAAGGGAGUAUUUAAGGCCCACUAUUAUUCAUGUAUUAUGUUAAUGACAUGUCUAUAAGCGUUAGCAAAGACUGCAAAAUAUUGUUAUUUGCAGACGAUAGUACCAGACUAUAUUCGGAUAAGAACCCAAAAGUUAUAUUUCAGAAACUGGGUAAGGAACUUGAAUCUUGCAGUAAAUGGCUGAUCGAUAAUAAAUUAUCACUUCAUUUGGGGAAAACAUAAACUUUUAUGUUAAGGUCUAAUCUUAAAUUGGUGAAAAAUUCUUAACUUUGACGUUACUUGUAAUAAUCACAUAAUUUUAUCACAGAAAUGUGUGAAAUAUAAAGUCUAAGUAUUGAUUAUUCUCUUUCUGGAGAAAAUUUUUUAAAUAAUGUUAUACAAAAGAUAAACUCGCGAUUUACUGAGUUUCUAUACAGACAGGCCAAAUGUUUACCAGAACAUUCUAGAAAAACUUUAGUUACAGCUUUAAUUCAAUGUCAUAUGACUAUGCCUGUUCUGCAUUGUAUGCAGGUGUCAGUAAAAAAUAUAAAAAAUAUAAAAAUAUAAAGUUACAAGUAUUAUAAAACAAAUGUGCUAGAUGUAUAAAACAAAAUACUGGAUAUAGAUCCGAAGUUGACCAUAAUGUAUUGAAUAGUAUUGAUUGAAAUCGUGUUAUACAAUUAAGAUUAAACCAUGUUCAUUAUAUUUAUUACCAUCGUUGUCCUAGUUACAAAGGUGAGACAUUGUCAUAAUCAUUUCACAAGAAAUAGUGAUAUAACUUCUGGGUUCCACCAGUUGAGAGUCAACAAAAAGAUACUUGUUAUUAUAAUGGUAUACAAGAUUGGAAUAUGUUACAAAUUAUGUUAAAAAAAAUGCAUUCAAAAUUAGCGUUAAAGGGUACUUGACAAAAAGUUAAAAUGUGGUUUCAUCUGACUGCUUUUUAUAUUAUUAAAUUUGGUUUUUUAUUAAAAUUACUUUUAUAUGAAGUUUUAUGUCAGAUUUAUUUGUGUAUUAUCAAUUUUGUAUGUCGAAAAUAUAAGCGGUUUACAUGAAGGGACCCCAUUGGAAACAAGCUUCAGAGCUAGAUGGGUUAUCCCUGAUAAAAUAUCAGCAUUUUGUUUUCCGUACACAAAAGGUACUAUAUUCACCAAAUGCUCUAUUUUAUCAAGUAUGCGUUUGUAUAUGUCUUUGUAUAUUGUAUAGUGUGUAUUGUAAAACUUGUAUGCUUGAUAUUUUAUUGAAUAAAAUAUUAUUAUUAUUA